rnacentral:lncRNA from 1 species
UAAUAUGAAGUACCUAUGAAGUAAUAUUUUUGAGUCAUGAUAGAUUAAAUCAAAUACAUUUGUAAUUGAGUCAUGAUAGAUUACAUCAAAUACAUUUGUAACGUUUGUAGUCAGGAAUCAAAUAUGGGAAUGGUUGACCAACUCAAGCGUCAUGGAGUUGUUAUAUUUCCAUUCAAAAUCCUUUUUUUCUCCAAUAAUUUGUGUU